AUGAUCCAAACAAAACACAGGGAAUACUACGGUCAGCAAAAUUGUCGCGGCGGGAUCUACGCAAGACCCGCUCCGGUCAUCUGUGUGUCUGCGCAUGCGUGUGGUGGUCACGGUUGCCUAGCGACAGACACCACACACCGACGCUGCUCACAAAAACCGCGCCUUUUAAAAAUGUCCACUACACCCGAUACUUCACCACGUCCUCAAAAGCGUAAACGCUUGCAGAAGUACGGACGUGAGUGGGAAGACGCACAUCCUAGGCUGGACAGCGUCAGUGGAGAUGUUUACAAGGCAAGUUGUAAAAUAUGUCGGCGAGUGUUUUCAGUGGCGCACGGUGGGCUGUCUGACAUCAGACAGCAUGCAACAGGAGAGCAACACUGCAGACACGAAAGAUCACAGAAGACCCAAGCGUCAGUGUCACAGUUCUUCUACAUUCUACUUGCUGUAGUUUGGUCUGGCUUUGCGAGACUACAGUUCUUCAUACCCCAAUCAUCUCCUGAGGUUGAUACGCCCAAAGCAGCAACUUUCUGCAGUUCACAGUGCCCUCUCAAGCAGCAACUACAGCAAGCUGUGUCACAAGCAAAGCCAUCUGGCUAUUCAGCCUCCACCGGGAAAGUUCUCCUGCGACAGUAUUGGAUACGAACGGCUAAUGCAAGGUAAAUCUAAAACCCUAGGUACCUCUCAUUCUUAGUUUUAAGUUGACUUUUAUACUGAUAUGAAAAUCUAGUUCAGAUGAGGUUUGAUUUAUUUCUGCCUGUUUUUUCCAGAUUCAAAAAAGAUGAAAUGGUCUAGUAAAACAUGUCGAUUUGAGGGUGACACACGGACAGAACUGUUGAAACACUACAGACUAAGACAUGGAAUUGUUAGCCGUGGCCAGACAGUGCCUUGCCUUUAUAAGGAUUGCCCUUGUUCAUUUAAGACGUUCAAUGCCCUUAAUAUUCAUUUAUCCAGGCAGCACCCUGAGGCAGUGACAUCAAAAGAUAUUCUAUCCUUUAGUUGUGUCCUGUGCAGUUCCAGUUGUUUUGAUUCAGAAAGGCAAUAUUUUGAACAUCUUGGAAGCCAUUUGAGGAGAUUUGAAGUAGUUGCAUGUGUAUUUAAAAACUGCACCUUCAGCUGAAACAUAUAUUCAAGCUUCGCCUCGCACAGACACAGGAAACAUUCUUCACAUGGACUUGAAGACUUUAAAGAUGAAGUAUUGAAAAAAUACUUGGUUCCAGUUGUUGACACUGAAGAGGAGGAUCCUCAACCUUUGAUUGAGGAGGAUCCUCAACCUUUGUUUGAGGAAGACAAGGAUCUAUCUCGGAUCAUAAAAGAGAAGUUUGGCAGCCUUUUUCUUAGGUUAGAGAGCACCUUUAAUGUGUCAAACAAGUGCAUUGAUGAAAUCGUUAAUGAGCUUCAAUUCAUAUCAUGCACAGCAUCAGUUCCUGUUAUAAGAGAGUUGAUUGAGUCUACUCUAAGGAUCCAUAGCUGUGAGUUGGACACAGCUGUAAUCUCUGAUUUGGUUAAAAUUCUCAGCGAGGCACACCCAAUAAGCUCAGCUUUGGCAAGCGAUGGUCCCUUCUCAACAU
ensembl:lncRNA